GGCCUUCUAGUGCUUCCCACAAGCUGUAUUUAUACUGAUUGUAUAGAAAGAGGUGGCAGAGUAAACCUACCCUGUGUAUACCUCAGUCCAAGCCACUGUGUCAUAACUGGUCGGAAAAGUAAAUGGGGAAACAGAA
ensembl:snoRNA